rnacentral:rRNA from 1 species
AUAGCGUAUAUUAAAGUUGUUGCAGUUAAAAAGCUCGUAGUUGAAUUUCGGAUCGUACCUUGAGAGCAACCGAAAGGUUGAUACAAUAUAGGUGCGGUCUUAUGUGUCUGGCCUUGUGGUAUGCUAUUAAUUUGGUGUGCCAUUUUGGUUAGAAGUUUACCUUGAAAAAAUUAGAGUGUUUAAAGCAAGUGAAUAACAGCCUGAAUACAUUAGCAUGGAAUAAUAGAAUAGGACUUUGGUUCUAUUUUGUUGGUUUCUAGGACCGAAGUAAUGAUUAAUAGGGACAGUUGGGGGCAUUAGUAUUUAAUUGUCAGAGGUGAAAUUCUUGGAUUUAUUGAAGACUAACUUCUG